CCCCUGGGGACCUGGGGAGCAGAGGCUGAAGCGUAGGGGGAGGAGGAACGGCCUCGACAAGCCUUUUAAGAGGCUGGAGUCCACCAGGGCAGAGGGUCUUUGUGUUUUCUGUUCCUCACGGACCUUACCGCCUACUGGCCGAGUUCUUGCAGUUGGUAAACCGAGUUCUGGAGGUAGAGAAAUGUGGCGUAGGGAAAUGAUGCCUCCAAGUAUAUUCCACUAAGUUUCCAGAAGGACUGAAAACACAGUUUAUUAAAUUUAAAGACCAGUUAGGUAAUGCGUAGGACUAACCAACUAAAGAGGGAUCUUCCUACCUGCGUACAGUCUGCUCUUCAGCACGGAGCAACUUUAAGAAGUGUGUUUUCUUUCCUCCUGCCUCCCAGCCCCCUCCCUUCCCCCAGCUGCUAAGUCAGUUCCCAAGGCUAGUAACCCCCCCUGAGAAGCCCAGGCCCGCCCGGGGCCUGCCGGGUCUGGAAGUCCUUCUUGAAGGUUGCAAUUCCCAAGGUUUGGGAAUUGGAAUAUUCUGGUAUUUAUUUCUUCACCACCUUCCCACCCCAGUGCUCUGGGGACAGACUGACCUUCCCACCUCCCUUCCUUUGCUAGCGAGGCCUCAGAGACCACUAGGGGUUACGGCGCUGGCUCAGCCAGAGGCAGGGUGCCAGCUUCCCUACAGGAAAAAUGAAUUCAGGUUCAUGCUUUAAAAUCAUUGGAGGGAAAGAGUAGACAUAAACCAUGAAAAACAUUCUUGGAGCCUUGAGGAAAACAAGAAGCAGGGUUAUGGAAGGUCAAGGUGUGCAGGUGCAUAUUCAGAUGGGAGAGAAAGGGGAGCCCUUCGUUGCCACCCAGGCUCUCCCAAGGCUCAGAGGGACACCCCCUCCUCCCGCCCUAAUCCCCCCAUUAAGGCUGCUCUGAGUUUGUUAUGACAGCGGCUGAAGGCAGCUGAAUUGCUGUUUGCUGUGUCUGCUAAUUGGACUGAAGGGUUGGAAUCUGGACACUGAAAGAGACCAUUGUUGCUGUUUACCUUCUACAGCUGCCUCCCUGGGGACCUUCUGGGUGAAGGGGAGCAGCACGCCCUCAGGGGCCCUGCGCCCAUGCCCUGUCUCUGCACAAGGGACUGGGAUGGGGAGACGGCUCAUCUCAUUGGAUGAUUUGAGCUUCUGCAACACGAAAGAGAGAAGCCCAACACCUGAGUGGGUCUCCAGUCCAGAUCGGGCCCAGGGCCCCCAGGAGUUCCCAGGAGAUGCUUUCCUUCCCUAUUUAUUCCUUUCCUCUUCAGGGGCCCUGGCCUUGCCUCUUCCUGGAGCUCAUCAGGCUGAACCCCUGUACUUUUUCUCAUGUGCUUUCUUCCAGGCCAGUGGUUCUCACUUGGUUAUGCACUGAAACCAUCUGGGGAGCAUUUAAAAGAAAUACUGAUGUUGGGGUCCAGCCCUGGGCCAGUGAAAUCAGAGUAUCUGGGAACGAGGCCUAGACAUCGCUUCUCACCUGGGGCGGGUGGGUGCUUGUCACCCUCCCGCCCGCUUUCCUGCUCUCCUGGGCCAGAGCCGUGUCCAGCACCACGGACAGCUCCCGGGCGGCAGCCGUGGAGUCUCAGGAAGAGGAAAUGUCCGAGGGCAGUUGGCAUUCCAUCUUCAGGAAACUGGGGCUCCGUCCACAGGAUGGACGACAUGAAGGCGGUUUUGGCUGUUAACCCUGAAAUGGACAGGCUGGUCGGGACACAAGCCCUGGCUCCCCGCCCACUUGCUAGGUGACCUCAGGCAAGUCACUCACUGUCUUUGCCUCCUAACUUCCUUCCACGGUCACCCUGAGGGAUCAGUUGGGUGGGUGUGAAUGAGGGUAAGGCUAUGUGCAGGUGGCCAGUGCUGAUUCCAGAGGGACACGGAGUCAGAGGCGCCAUUGGGGUGGGGGCAGUUGGGAGGGCUUCCACGGCUUAGCAAUGAGGGCACGGAUCCCCGGGAGGCGGGUGCCGGGAAGGGCUCCUGCGGUCCGUGACGAAGGCCUGUCUGAGAAGCGGGGCUGGAGCUCUUGUGGCCCUGAGCCGGCAAGCGUCCGGGUGCACGUGCUUCUCAGGAAGAGCCUCCCGAAGGGCCGAGCAGAGCUGUCCAGCAGCCCUGGGAGGGUGGGUGAGGUGCCCCCGCAGCACCCCCGCCCGGCUUGCUCCCCUCAGCCCUCGUCUCCGCAUUCUCCAGGGGCAGCGCCGCCGGAUGCUGUGGCCUCCAGUGAGUGAGCUCAAAGUGGUUCCCGGAGCCCCGGCGCGCCCAGGACUCUCUCUCGGGCCGAUCUCAGGCCAUCAGCGUUGUCAGGAGUGGGCUACAGACAGACUGACUGAGGUCCCUCGGCCUGCGGCCUGGAGACUUUGAGCAACAGGGGCUAUUGUCUUGAAGCAGUCAUUCCUUGUCAAAUAAGCAAGAGCUCGGAGGAAGGAUGGUCUGGGCAUCGCCCCCUACUGAUGGCAGGGGAGCCUCUAGGUCUGCAGGGAAGGGCCAGGCCGAGGCUGGCAUAUGGAGGGAGAGCCCUGGGCACUGGGGCAUGAGCCUUACCCGGCCAGGGCUGCCUUCUGCCGGGUUUGUCCAUCUGGCACCAGCUGGCUUCCCAGUGCUGCCCCCACAGCCAACCGGGCUCCUCCUGCUGCUGUUGCCAUAGCAAUUGGCUGCCAUCUUGUGCUCAGGGUGCUGGCUGCCUCCUAUCUGAUCUUCCCAUGGGACUCCUGGGGGAUGGGACACAGGUCUCCGGAGAUGUACCCCUUCCAGCCAGCCGUCCAAUAAAAAAGCCACGACGGAGGCCAGCUAUGUGUCCGGCUCUGUGCUGAAUGCGCCUCGUGUGUUAAUCUGGCCGAGAGCGCACUCAUGCCAACAGUUUGAAAGGUCCGCACCCAGUUUCUCAUUUCUAUGACAGACCUUUCCUCUCUCCAACCAGGAAACACCAUCAUCUUGCUUAUUCUGCCUUGGAGGCCCGCUCUGCUGAAGCACCAGUUCUCUGGCCCUGGGCUUGAUGUGGCUAACGGGGACCGACUGCCACCUGCUUUAGGCACCGUAUUGGGUUCUCGGACUCCAAGAAGCUGGCCUAGGGAAACACACAUGGGUAGCUUCGUGGGGUCCUAGUGGCCCUUAAAGACCUGGGGACACAAGUCUGCAAUCUCUAGUUUAGAGGGGCAUCUGGCUGACCCAGUCGGUAGAGCAUGUGACUCUUGAUCUCAGGGUCAUGAGUUCAAGCCCCACAUCAGUGUGGAGUCUAUGUCCAAUAAAAUAAUAAUAGUAAUAAAUAAAUAAAUAAAAUCUUGUUUAGAAAAGGGGAGUCAGUGUCACAAAAUGCUUUGAAAUUCCUCUUCCUUGCCCCCAUCCCCACCCAAAGAGAAAAGAGCCAGAGGCCAUUGGAAAGGGACGGUCUCUCAGGCCCUUGGCAGAGAGGAGUCCCCUCCGAGGGCAGGCUCCGUGCUCCGGCCACUGGAGAGGCUCCGACAGGGUCCCUGAGAGAUCCUGAGGCGGUGAGAAUUCCCUCCCUCCGGAGCUCCAGCAGAAGGCAGGGAAUGGUCACCUUGACCUAGCGGGGCACCUCCAAGGGGCACGGAGCAGGGGCCAGCUUUGCUGAGGGUACCUCCAAGGAGGGGCAGGUGGAGAGAGAAAGGAGGCCAUUCUCCACGGAGGCAGGGUAGGCUGGCAGGGAGGGGCUGGGGAUAAUUUAUGAUAUCAUUGCUUCCCAGCCCCCCUUCCCAGCCCCCUGCUCCUGUACUGUUGCUAGGAGAUGCUGGCUACCGAGUCUGGGCUCGGAGGGCGGAGCAGGCAGACACUGCCCCAUCUGGACUCCUCCUCCCCCACUGCAGGGGGGGCCUGCUCUGAGCUUCACCCCCCCACCCCCGUCCCUGCCCAGGUCCCCACACACACCUUCUCUCCUGCCGUCCCCCAAAUCCAGCCCGCCUGGGGCUGCGGGGUUCCCAGAUGGCCUGAGGAUCUGGGACAAGGAAUGGGACACUGAGCAGGGGAGGGGAAGGCAGGGGGCACUCAGCCGGGGAGCUGAGGAGUGGCCGGCACACCUCAGGGCCUCUGGGAGCCAGCCCUGGUCAGGAUGAUGGCGGGGGGGGGGGUGGUCAGAGGUCUUGAGGAGACCAAGUCUUUCCCUUUGGGGAGCCACCAGUACGAUGGGUAAAGCAGACCCCCAUCCACACCCCUCCAAGCUACUGCGAAGUCCAGGUUGGAGGCCCGUAAACGUGUUUAGGGGCGGGGCGGCGAGGAUGGAGGUAGGGCCGGCAGGGAGGUGAGGCUGCACCCUCUGGUCUGAGCGGAGGCGGAGGUGGGCAGCGGAGGGGCUCAGAUCCCCUCCUCUUCCGGAGAGUCUCUCCAGAUUUUAAAGCCCUUGGAGAAGUCAGAUGGGGUGACUCGUAGGGACUCCGGGCGCUGCUGGCUCCUGUGGCUCCUGCCGGGGCAGGGAGGAGGGGACACUGUGGCCAUGGUGGUGCUCCUAACGCAGAUCCCCGUGCGGCCCCCACUCGCACUCUUCGCUUCCAGGUGCCGAGGCUCCUAGGCCCCCCCAUCCCGGGAAGAAGGGAGCUGACCUCGAUCCCACACCCACCAGCUCAUGCGAGCCUUUUCUUAGCCACAAUCUGCUGACAGACCUGGAGUCAUCUGUCCCCGACUUUCAAAGCUGCGUGUCCCCACGAAGGAGGCGUGAGUCACCUGGAGUCACGGGGCUGACCAAAAAGAAGGACCUGUUUCACCCAGCUGGCAUGGGUUCCCUCUGAGAAGCCCUCCUGAAUUGACUCAAAGAGGAGGCCAAACUCUAGCAGGUUGACUGGGCAAGCCUGUUGCCCCUGGAGCCACCUGGGCCAGCCGUGGCCCCGGCUUCCACCCCGGACCCGUCCCAGUCCCGGUGCCGCCGGGCUGGGGCUCCUCUGACACGGCGGUCCAUUCUCAUAUCUAAUAAAGACGCCUGAAUGCUGAACCA